UUAUUUUUAACAUUGUUUUCAGAAAUUCUGGGAGAUGGCGAAGCGGGUCAGCGAGUUCAUGGUUUGGAAGAAGGUGGAGUGUCCGUUUGAGAAGGACCGCAAAAUCCUCCAGUACCUGCUCACCGCACCGGUUUUCAGCGAGGACACUCUGUAUCUGACCUCUUAUGAGAGUGAAGGCCCUGAGAACCACAUGGAGAAGGACAGAUGGAAGUCUCUGAGAUCCACUCUGCUAAGUAGAGUCUAGAGCUCCUGAACAGAACCACGUCAAACCCAUCUUGACAACCAAGCCUUACCCUGCGGUGAUGUCCGAAUAGCAGUGUCCCUGUUCGGAAGGGAAACAACCAUCUGUACUGUACUAGUCAGCAGGACAGUAUCUGUUUACGUUCCUCACUCAUGGAGUUUUAGGUGAAGAAUCCCUCCAGUCGUGUGGCUCUUCUUCUUCUACGUUUCCAGGCUUUUUUCAUCUCUUUGUAUGAAUUUUGUAGUCUUUUAUUAAAGACGUUACGACGACCAUCACGGCGACAAGAGGAAAACCCAGGGAGAUGCUUUUUGUUGUUGUCCUUUUAUCGUCUGCUGAAAACCUUUUUUUUGAAACACACCAUGUAUAUAUUCACACCAGGUGAAACACGAUUGAUGCAAAUUGUCCCCCUGUGACAUUUCUUCCAGGUGUAUUUUUCCGUUCUACAGAAGCUAGGAGUUGUCUGCUGGUUGGCCAACUGACUCAGUUCCAACAGGUGGAACAAACAAGCUGCUUUCGCUCUUCUUGUAAUAAGCCGGCAUUUUGUUAACUGGGAACCAGUAUACUAUGUAAUGGUGUUAAUCCUAACCUACAGCAAUGUUGGUAGAGAUUUAGGAAGCUAACAUUAUUUGUAGUUUUGUUUGUGUGUGUAAUUACGUUUUAAUAUGCAUUUGUUUGUCUGCGGUUAUUGUGUUACCGUUUGGUCGACCAAGCCUCGACAACUUUACCGCUAAAUAUGCUCAAAGUGCAUUGGAUGGCUAAUAUGAUGUCAUUUUUGUUUGUGUUUAUAUAAAGCUUUGUGAUGAUACUCUACAACAGGAAGAAACCUCUUCUCUCCUCAUCCUUUAUCGAUGGGACCCUCAGCCACGGGCAGAGAGGUGUGUGGGGAUUUUGUGAAGAUAGAUAAUGGCACCCUAUUCCCUAUGCACUGCACUAAUGAUAAUCAGUGUUAUAACACUCUGCCACUAGCCGGUAUGUCCCUGAUAAUCAGUGUUAUAACACUCUGCCACUAGCCGGUAUGUCCCUGAUAAUCAGUGUUAUAACACUCAGCCACUAGCCAGUAUGUCCCUGAUAAUCAGUGUUAUAACACUCUGUCACUAGCCAGUAUGUCCCUGAUAAUCAGUGUUAUAACACUCAGCCACUAGCCAGUAUGUCCCUGAUAAUCAGUGUUAUAACACUCAGCCACUAGCCAGUAUGUCCCUGAUAAUCAGUGUUAUAACACUCUGUCACUAGCCAGUAUGUCCCUGAUAAUCAGUGUUAUAACACUCUGCCACUAGCCAGUAUGUCCCUGAUAAUCAGUGUUAUAACACUCAGCCACUAGCCGGUAUGUCCCUGAUAAUCAGUGUUAUAACACUCAGCCACUAGCCAGUAUGUCCCUGAUAAUCAGUGUUAUAACACUCAGCCACUAGCCAGUAUGUCCCUGAUAAUCAGUGUUAUAACACUCUGUCACUAGCCAGUAUGUCCCUGAUAAUCAGUGUUAUAACACUCUGCCACUAGCCAGUAUGUCCCUGAUAAUCAGUGUUAUAACACUCAGCCACUAGCCAGUAUGUCCCUGAUAAUCAGUGUUAUAACACUCUGUCACUAGCCAGUAUGUCCCUGAUAAUCAGUGUUAUAACACUCUGUCACUAGCCAGUAUGUCCCUGAUAAUCAGUGUUAUAACACUCUGUCACUAGCCAGUAUGUCCCUGAUAAUCAGUGUUAUAACACUCAGCCACUAGCCAGUAUGUCCCUGAUAAUCAGUGUUAUAACACUCUGUCACUAGCCAGUAUGUCCCUGAUAAUCAGUGUUAUAACACUCUGUCACUAGCCAGUAUGUCCCUGAUAAUCAGUGUUAUAACACUCUGUCACUAGCCAGUAUGUCCCUGAUAAUCAGUGUUAUAACACUCUGUCACUAGCCAGUAUGUCCCUGAUAAUCAGUGUUAUAACACUCUGCCACUCUGCCAGAAUAAAUAUAGACUUGGAGGACUGGACUACGCUUCUAUCACUCAAGAUUAUCCAUCCUGUGUGAGAGUGGUUGUGCCUACACACACACUGCACUCCCCCCCCAUGAGUUUGGUAGUACAGAAAUACAAUGUGGUUGUAUCGCCCCCUGGUGGUUUAGUUAAGUAAGUGCGGUGGAGGAGCAGAGUUGAGUGAAUGAGUAGAGGAGAUGUGUGUGAGAGCUGAGGAUUUGGAAUGUUUUUCCUCUGUUUAAUGCUGGAUCAAACUUUUCUUAUCCCCUAUAUUUCUUUUCUUCAUAUUGUUAUAAUUAUUUUCACCAAAUGUUGUUUUAUUUAUGAUCCUCUGUGUAGUUAUUAUUUCAUAUUAUGGAUAUUUACGAUUAUUUUAUUGUAUUUCUGCUUAUUUAAUUUUGUACUAGGUACAUAAUAUACUUCAGUAGUUAUCAGAUAUUGGCCUAACAUUUUUUUUUAUACAGGUUUAUAUGAAAACUUUUCAGGUACAAGCUAACACUAUGAAGUAAAAAAUUGUGGGCGCGUUCCAGGACGAAUACAUUGCAGGUGUUGCAUAGCCGAUGUCUAUCCAGGCAUUGUGAGAUCUGGCAGGCGUCUGUAAUUUAGUCCGUCUGGAACGCGGCCAUUGACUGAUGUCUAGCUUGCCUUGUCUUUGCAUUUCUCCUCUCUACAUGAUAUUGUGGUGUAAAUUAUUCUGUUUUUCCUACCUGUGUUUAUCUGUUUUGUAUUUGGCCUGUUAUGAUGGAAUAGAGGAUCUGUUUAUUACUGAGUUAGUUGUGUUAAAAGAGAAAGUUAAUAAAAGAUUGCCUAAAAGGUGA